GACGAACGCUGGCGGCGUGCUUAACACAUGCAAGUCGAACGGAAAGGCCCUGCUUUUGUGGGGUGCUCGAGUGGCGAACGGGUGAGUAACACGUGAGUAACCUGCCCUUGACUUGGGAUAACUUCAGGAAACUGGGGCUAAUACCGGAUAGGAGCUCCUGCUGAAUGGGGGGGGGUGGAAAGUUUCGGCGGUUGGGGAUGGACGCGCGGCUUAUCAGCUUGGUGGGGGGGUAGUGGCUUACCACGGCUGUGACGGGUAGCCGGCCUGAGAGGGUGAGCGGCGCCAUUGGUCCUACGAGACGGCCCAGACUCCUACGUGAGGCAGCAGUGGGGAAUAUUGCACAGUGGGCGGAAGCCUGAUGCAGCAACGCUGCGUGUGGGAUGACGGCCUUCGGGUUGUGAACCGCUUUCGCCUGAGACGAAGCGUGAGUGACGGUAAUGGGUAAAUAAGCACCGGCUAACUACGUG
rnacentral:rRNA from 1 species